rnacentral:lncRNA from 1 species
CUUUUACCUAUAAUAGUCAGAACUUAUAAUUAGGUUAGUUAGGUUUUCUAGAUUUACAGAGAUGUAUUUGAGAUGGAUAGGUAUUCUUCAAACCUUUCAAAGACCUACAGAAAAAGGCAUUUAAAUGGUUUAGGACUUUUCUUGGCAGUGAGACACAACUGCUCCUGGCACACCAAUUAUGUCAAAAAGGAGGAUGGGCAUCGAAGAAACUCAUUAUGGAGUUUGCUUUCAACAUGGCAAGAUUAGCCAUUUGGGCAAGAAACUGCUCUUGCCUGGACUGUUUGUUGCUGCAUAAACUAGACAUACAGGACCCACAAGAAAGUGACUGCUGAACUUACAAAACAAGACAGUACUGAAGGGUUCCUGUUAAAAUGGAGAAGUGUGCCAGACACAAUGUGGCCUAUAGGCUGAAGAUGGAUGCCCCAACGUUACAGAGGAACUUUGGGUGACGGUCCAGGCAAACGGAUGGAACUAGAAGAAACCAUCCUGAGUGAGGUGACCCAGUCAAAAACAGACAAACAUGAGCCCUCAUCCAGUGGCUGAUGGAAGCAGAGGCAGACACCCACAGCUAAACACCAUGCUUAACUCUGGAACCCAAAGGCACAGAGGAAGGAGUGAAGAGCAACAAGGUCAAGACCAGGCUGGUGAAACCCACAGAAACAGCUAACCUGAACAAGGAGGAGUGCGUGGACCCCAGACUGAUGUCAGGGAGGCCAGCACAGAACUUAUACAGACCCCUGAAUUGUGGAUGUAAAUGAGGAGGCCUCGGCAUUCUAUGGGACCUCUGGCAGAAGGAAUCUCUGAAGACACCCACUCUACUGGAGGCCAUGCUGGUAUUAAGAACCCCAGAUUUGUGCCUAGCCCAUGUGUCUUCAGAGAGACUUCAUCCAGAAACUGAUGGAAAUAGAGGUGGAGACCCACAGUCAAACAUUAGGUCGAGCGCAGGAAAUCCUAUGGAAGAGGUGGAAGAUGGAUUGUAGGAGCUAAUGCUGUCAAGAACAUCACAAGAAAACCCACAGAAUCAACUAACCUGGGAUCAUAGGAGCUCAUAGAGACUGAAUCCAUAACCAGAGAUCUGCAUGGGCCAGAGCUAGGCCCUCUGCAUAUAUGUGACAGUUGUAUAGCUUGGUCUCUUGUAGGAUUGCUAACAGUGAAAACAGGAGCUAUACUUAAUGCUUUGGUUGGCUUUUGGGAUCCUAUUCCUCAUACUGGGUUGCCUUAUACAGCCUUAAUACAAGGGGAGGUGCUUAGUCUUACUGCAACUUGGCACACCAAACUUUUCUGACAUCCAUUGGAGGCCUGCCCUUUUUGAGUAGAAACAGAGGAGGACUGAAUGGGAGAGGGGCAGAGGGGAGUUUUAUGGUAGGGACUGGUAGGAGAGGAGGGAGGGGAAACUGAGGUUGGGAUGUAAAAUAAAGGAAUGAAUUAGCUAAAAACUUGUUUGAAGUGACACUAGCCCACUGAAGCAUGUGGCUGUGGCAGGCCUUGCUCUUCUCUCCCAAUUCCUUCUGCCUUGCUAAAAAACAAACAAACAAAACAAAACAAAAAGUUAGAUUAUAUCCCUAAAGUUAGCCACCAAGGUCUAUUCCCUUAUUUGGCCACUACCUCCUCCUGAGGUUGACUACCAAAGUCCAGCAAUCGGAAUCCCCCUUCUUACCUAAGUAACAUGCCCAAUUAAAACUAAACACCUCAUCCUAACUGAGGGUUUCCUAUGUGCCUAUGUGCCAUAUCUGUCUCCUCUGUUAUCCACAGGCAGUCCUUUGUCCCUCAUGGAACAAAUAGCUCUGUCCUCUUUCUGUUGUCCCCUUCCCCUCUCCCUCUCCCCUGUGUUUUUACCACCACUUCCGAGCCCAUUUUCACACAGACCUCCCCUUUUCCCCCUCUUGAGAAUUACACUGCAAGGCCAUUUGCUGCUAUUUUCUGCCUGAGUCAGAAAGCAGCCACUUUUGCUUUGCUUCACCACUUAAAGGAUCUCUCUGUGAAAACGGGUGUUUUGGCUGUGGUUUGUGCCUAACCCGGGGUCCAAGAAGGAGGCUCUGCUGUGUGGGAGUCCCUUUCAGAGUUGCCAUGGUAAUAUUGUCUCUUCACAGCAAUAAAACAGUGACCAAGACACUCAUGAUCCUCCUGCUCUACCUUCAUGAGUCCUGGGAUUACAAGUAUGUACAGACUCAGUUGUAACUUUACAUUCUAAGCCUCACAAUGUAUCCACAUGGCCUCUAGUCAACUAGACCUAUUCAGAUAUGGAAAGUCCUUGGCUUCAGAAUCAUUUGCCUUGUUUUAUGCCCUAAAGCAUCACUAUCCUGACUACUGCAUAAUUUAUUUUUAAAUCAAUAACAGCUGUGUUGUCAACAAUAUACACCUAUCUGUAAUCACAUCUUUAAUAGUUUACAGCAGGAAAGAGUUUCCAAUCUUAUGAACAACUAAAUAUCUUUUUAGAAACUCUUCAGGAAUAAUUAUCCAAAUUAAACUUACUUUGACCAUUUUCAUGCAGAAUCAACAAUUACAUGUAAGAUGAACACACACAUACACACACUCACUCACACACACUCACACACUCAUUUCCACUAAUAGUCACUGACUAUAUAUAGCUUUCAUCUUCUGCUGUAUACUUGUGUACUUACUGGGUUCCUUUGAAACUAAGGAGCCAGAGAGGUUGGUACGCUCCUGUAUUCCCAUAACUGUAGAGGUUGAGACAGAAGGAUCCCAAGUUUCAGGCCAGCACAUACUACAUGGUGAGUUCUAAGCCACCCCUAGGUUACUAGAGGUUACUAGUUAGACCUGACCUUGUUUAUGAAAACAAAGCAAAAAAAAAACAUAAUUGAUGCUUCCUUCAUUGCUUUACUUUUCUUGGUAUCUGGAAACGACUGUUACAAAUAUUAAAUUCACAUAUAUAAAUUGUCAGUUUACCCUGUACAGACUUUUACUUUGGAAAAUAUAGUAUAAUUUUUGUGUUGAAUUAUUGUUUUCUUGUUGUAUAAUUUUUUAUUUUUAUUUUUUUCUACUUUUGAUUUUGAGACUGACUUUCAUUAUGUGCUCUGGCUGACCUGGAACUCACUAUGUAGACCAGACUAGCCUUGAACGUACAAUUUUGUUUUCUGAGUACUGGAAUUAAAAGGCUCAUGCUACUAUGACUCACGUAUUUUUCUAUUUUUAUUAAACAAUUACAUAUUUGUAGUUAAACAAGUCAGUUCUUCAAAAUCCUGGGCAAGCUUUUUGAAAUUCUUAACAAGUAAUCUUACUUUCUAAAAGUCUUGUCCAUAUAUGUUCAAGUAAUAAGAGGAGGCUAAAAUCUCAUAGCUGAUAGCUGUGUCAUAUAUGUGUGUAUUUUAAGGCAGUCAUUUUUAUUCUCAUAUCUCUACAAAAACACUUAGGUUGAGACAUGCUAAAUGUCUCUGUAAGACUAAGCAGCUAACAAAUUGCAAAACCAGGAAUUUAACUCAGGAUUAUAACCAGUUUAAAAUGAGAAAGCUUUUAUUGCCUUCAUUAUGCUGUAAUGCUUCACAAUCUAUGAUUACUAUACAAGAGUUUAAAUAUUUAGAAUGAAUUUCACAGAAGCAUAUCAAUUCCUUUCCAGGUGUUUUGCAUUAACCUUAUGCACAGUCAUCUUUUAUUCAUUAUUUGAUUCAACAAAUAUUUAUCAAGUGCCUAAUAUAUACCAGUCAUUUCUCAAGGAGCUAUAUGGUGGCAAUCCAAAGUCUCUAUUCUUACUGACUUCUAAUAGAAAAGGUAGAAAUAACACAAAAACAUAAAAGAUAAUAUGGCAUAAGGUAACUAAAAAAAAAAAGAAGUCACAGUUUCAGUGUGUUAAGUGCUAUGUGGGGUCAAAUUAGGAUCUAUAAAUAACUAUGGAUGAUGGAGAUGCCUAUAAACAUCACCUUUUUAGAUAAAGACAUAAAAUAAUAUACUUUUAACUGUACUCAGCUGAGCCAAACUCCUGGAAUCCAGUUGUAGAGAGGGAGGAGUAAUGAGCAAUGGAAUCAAGACCAGGCUGGUGAAACCCACAGAAACAGCUAACCUGAACAAGGGAGCUCAUGGUCCCCAGACUGACAGCUGGGAAACCAGCACAGGACUGAAUGUGGGUGUUAGUUAGGAGGUCUGGGCAGUCUAUGGGGCCUCUGGUCAUGGAACACUAUUUAUCCCUAGAGCAUGAAUGGAAUUUGGGAGCCCAUUCCCCAUAUAGGGAUACUCUCUCAGCCUAGACACAUGGGGGAGGGUCUAGGCCCUGAUCCAAAUGAUAUGACAG